AGUGAACGCUGGCGGUAGGCCUAACACAUGCAAGUCGAACGGCAGCACAGUAAGAGCUUGCUCUUACGGGUGGCGAGUGGCGGACGGGUGAGGAAUACAUCGGAAUCUACUUUUUCGUGGGGGAUAACGUAGGGAAACUUACGCUAAUACCGCAUACGACCUACGGGUGAAAGCAGGGGAUCUUCGGACCUUGCGCGAUUGAAUGAGCCGAUGUCGGAUUAGCUAGUUGGCGGGGUAAAGGCCCACCAAGGCGACGAUCCGUAGCUGGUCUGAGAGGAUGAUCAGCCACACUGGAACUGAGCCACGGUCCAGACUCCUACGGGAGGCAGCAGUGGGGAAUAUUGGACAAUGGACGCAAGCCUGAUCCAGCCAUACCGCGUGGGUGAAGAAGGCCUUCGGGUUGUAAAGCCCUUUUGUUGGGAAAGAAAAGCAGCAGGUUAAUACCCCGCCGUUCUGACGGUACCCAAAGAAUAAGCACCGGCUAACUUCGUG
rnacentral:rRNA from 1 species